rnacentral:rRNA from 1 species
UACAGAGGUCUCAAGCGUUGUUCGGAUUCAUUGGGCGUAAAGGGUGCGUAGGUGGCGUGGUAAGUCGGGUGUGAAAUUUCGGAGCUUAACUCCGAAACUGCAUUCGAUACUGCUGUGCUUGAGGACUGGAGAGGAGACUGGAAUUUACGGUGUAGCAGUGAAAUGCGUAGAGAUCGUAAGGAAGACCAGUGGCGAAGGCGGGUCUCUGGACAGUUCCUGACACUGAGGCACGAAGGCCAGGGGAGCGAACGGG